GCCCUUCUAGUAUACUAAUUACAAUUGACUUCCAAUCUAUAGAAUCUGGUUUAACCCCAGAGAAGAGCA
rnacentral:tRNA from 1 species